rnacentral:rRNA from 1 species
GUAGGUGGCAAGCGUUGUCCAGAUUUACUGGGCGUAAAGGGAGCGUAGGCGGAUACUUAAGUGGGAUGUGAAAUACCUGGGCUUAACUUGGGUGCUGCAUUCCAAACUGGGUGUCUAGAGUGUUGGAGAGGAAAGUGAAAUUCCUAGUGUAGCGGUGAAAUGCGUAGAGAUUAGGAAGAACACCAGUGGCGAAGGCGACUUUCUGGACAAUAACUGACGCUGAGGCUCGAAAGCGUGGGGAGCAAACAGGGAUUAGAUACCCUGGUAGUCCACGCCGUAAACGAUGGGUACUAGGUGUAGGGGGUAUCGACUCCCCCCUGUGCCGCCCGUUAACACAAUAAGUACCCCGCCUGGGGAGUACGGUCGCAAGAUUA